rnacentral:rRNA from 1 species
UACGGGGGGGGCAAGCGUUGUUCGGAAUUACUGGGCGUAAAGGGCUCGUAGGCGGCCAACUAAGUCGGACGUGAAAUCCCUCGGCUCAACCGGGGAACUGCGUCCGAUACUGGAUGGCUUGAGUUCGGGAGAGGGAUGCGGAAUUCCAGGUGUAGCGGUGAAAUGCGUAGAUAUCUGGAGGAACACCGGUGGCGAAGGCGGCCAGCUGGCGCUGACCUGACGCUGAGGCGCGAAGGCAUGGGGAGCGAACGGG